UACGGAGGGUGCAAGCGUUAUCCGGAUUCACUGGGUUUAAAGGGAGCGUAGGUGGGUUGGUAAGUCAGUGGUGAAAUCCCCGAGCUUAACUUGGGAACUGCCAUUGAUACUAUCAGUCUUGAAUACUGUGGGGGUUAGCGGAAUAUGUCAUGUAGCGGUGAAAUGCUUAGAUAUGACAUAGAACACCAAUUGCGAAGGCAGCUGGCUACACAAAUAUUGACACUGAGGCUCGAAAGCGUGGGGAUCAAACAGG
rnacentral:rRNA from 1 species